CAGACCAAAACGAAGGCUUUCUGCAGAUUUCAACCGCAGCCAUGGCGAUGCAAGCUGGAAUGGGGUUUUCCAAGAUCAUAAUCUUAGUCGGAGCAGGGUACACUGGUACGUUGAUGCUGAAAAAUGGUAAACUUUCUGAUGUACUGGGCGAACUUCAGGCUUUGGUGAAAGGAUAUGAAGAAAAGCAGGGGGGUGGAGCUGAAAUUGAUCAUUCGGAUGCAAUUGCUGCCCAGGUACUACUCUCGUAAUAAGCUGUUUAUGCUUCAACUAGACUUGGACCUAUUCUCUUCGAUAUAUGUUGUUAUG